rnacentral:rRNA from 1 species
GAUGAACGCUGGCGGCGUGCCUAAUACAUGCAAGUCGAGCGAACAGACGAGGAGCUUGCUCCUCUGACGUUAGCGGCGGACGGGUGAGUAACACGUGGAUAACCUACCUAUAAGACUGGGAUAACUUCGGGAAACCGGAUCUAAUACCGGAUAAUAUAUUGAACCGCAUGGUUCAAUAGUGAAUGACGGUUUUGCUGUCACUUUUAGAUGGUUCCGCGCCGCAUUAGUUAGUUGGUAAGGUAACGGCUUACCAAGGCGACGAUGCGUAGCCGACCUGAGAGGGUGAUCGGCCACACUGGAACUGAGACACGGUCCAGAGUCCUACGGGAGGCAGCAGUAGGGAAUAUUCCGCAAUGGGCGAAAGCCUGACGGAGCAACGCCGCGUGAGUGAUGAAGGUCUUCGGAUCGUAAAACUCUGUUAUUAGGGAAGAAAAAAUGUGUAAGUAACUAUGCACGUCUUGACGGUACCUAAUCAGAAAGCCACGGCUAACUACGUG